UGGUUUUACUCGUAGGAUGUCUCAUCCAGUGUGCCCUGAGAACGAGAUAUGUGCAGCUCCUAUCAGGAUUUGUCGGCACAUCGGGCGGCUUUGCUGGUCUUGUUUUACCAUUGUCGAAAUGCAAUCUUCAACAUACUUAUCUUCAUAUGCAACCGACUAUGUAACCCCAGGUACUACCGGCGUUUAUAUAAGCCGAGGGUUGUACACCGUAGAGGCCAACUCAUUCAUACUCGAUGUCGAGGUAGAUCAACCUAUACUCUGUACCCCAUCCAUCAAUACAAUCAAAGUGGGACACAAGGGUUUACCUCUUAGAGAGGGCCUGAACCUGGGUAAACAGUGGUGUCCCCUUGUGUCCUGUUACCAUCUAGUUAAGACUACCAGAUUGGGGCCCCUACCUCAGAUCGGCCGGAUUCGACUCUGUCAUUGGUGGCCCAUGCAGGACCCUCCGAGUAGUCAAAGCGACUCGAUGGUGUCACCAACUGAUGAUCAGAUCAGCGAUGACGCAGCUUUCAUGCUGGAAUUUCCCAUGCUUCGGCUUGCAACCGAUCCCUUGGGGGAGAUUCAGACUCCAACCCGUCACCGAGACGUCUAGCUUGGUGGGCCAGGCCUUGCUGCAAUAUCCCCCUCCAUGACACUAGAUCUGGUCGAGGAGCAGCAGGUGACUUCUGCCUAAGCACCAGCAUUAUACGAGGCUUGGGACGGAAACUACGAUGUGUUGGACCAGGCUUGGAGCCCGGGUCCGAGGACACGGUGUGGUGGCCAGGCUAGCCAGGCCCCGCAAGUAGCGAUCGACUGUCCGAGCUCCUGCUUGGCGUUCUUUUCCUGUUUGCGGGUUGUGGGUCACGCACUUGAUUAAGCACCCCAGGUUCUCCUACUGCACCCUUGGCCUUGACUUUAGGUAGCCUGUCCUCGGCUCGUCCCGUGCAUAAACCAGGUAUGCAUCGACUGUUCGAGCUCCUGCUCCCUAUUGGUGGUGCUUGAGCGUGCGGUUAUGGUGUCGCACAUAAAGGGAACACGGGAUGUGGGAUUGAGACAGUACUCAUAGCAGCCCGCAGCAGGGCAAAGAAUGCCCAUCCAGACUGGCAGGGAGCAAAGGUGGGCACAAAGGUGAACGUUGACUCGGAGUCUCAACAGUGCGCUCAUCAGUAAGAGCAGCACGAGCAAGAAGAUUUUGGAUAUACUUCUCUUGGGAAAUAAGGAACAAUCUCAAGGAAGUAGUGAAGAGGACUAAGAUUCAGCAGUGACCUUAUCACUAAGAGCAGCACGAGCAAGAAGAUCCUAGAUGUACUUCUCUCGGGAAAUAAAGAGGCCAUCAGAGGUAGAAGAAACCUCAGUUCCAAGUAGUGAAAGGGACCAAGAUCAGACAUUAAAUCUAUUCACUAAGACGAGCCUUCAAAAAGGCAAUACACUCAAAAUUCUUGGUAGUGAUGAUCAUGCCAUCGACAUAUAGGAGCAGUGGAUUGCUAAAGGUUGAUGACAUAGAUGGAAGUGGAGACAAACUCGACCCAAAAGUGCGACGGAAGAGUUGCGGUGACCAUAACGGACAAGUCGUCUCAAGAAGGUGACGAUGCUUGCGCUCAGCAACGCCAUUUUGAGCAUGAGCACCAGGAUAAGAGAACCAAAGUCUGCUCAAAAAGGAUUCCACCAGAGUCAUCACAAAACACAUGAAUAGGUGUAGAGAACUGAGUGUGAACCAUGGCAGCAAAAGGCUUAUAAGACCUCACUACAAGAAAUAAAGUAUAUCCAGGUGUGUCGAGAGAAGUUACUACUGGAGGCAAAGGCAGAUGGACCCCUGAGAUCAUAUUGAACAAGAAUGGAAGGACGACAAGACACUGUCUCGCUAUGAGUAUAAGGUAAUUGGGCCGUGGAUUAGAGACAUCAUCGGAGACGGAUCGAAGAAGGCCACGUCGAACUAAGGAUGAGAGAUAACAAGUGAUCCAAGGGGAUGAUGCCAAUCCUGAAAAUAACUGGUAGACAAGGCAACAGAGGCAGAGACUGGCGAUGGUGGCAGCAGAGGGACUUGAUCUAGCAUCCCACGUGCCUAUGCACUCUUCGUACCCCAUCGAUCCGGCUUGGCGUUCUUUUCCUGUUUGCGGGUUGUGGGUCACACACUUGAUUAAGCACCCCAGGUUCUCCUACUGCGCCCUUGGCCUCGACUUUAGGUAGCGCCUGUCCUCAGCUCGUCCCGUGCAUAAACCAGGUAUGCAUCGACUGUCGGAGCUCCUGCUCACUAUUGGUGGUGCUCGAGCGUGCGGUUAUGGUGUCGCACAUAAAGGGAAUACGGGAUGUGGGAUUGAGACAGUACUCAUAGCAGCCCGCAGCAAGGUAAAGAAUGCCCAUCCAGACUGGCAGGGAGCAAAGGUAGGCACAAAGGUGAACGUUGACUCGGAGUCUCAACAGUGCGCUCAUCAGUAAGAGCAGCACGAGCAAGAAUAUUUUGGAUAUACUUCUCUUAGGAAAUAAGGAACAAUCUCAAGGAAGUAGCGAAGAGGACUAAGAUUCAGCAGUGACCUUAUCACUAAGAGCAGCACGAGCAAAUGUACUUCUCUUGGGAAAUAAACAAGCCAUCAGAGGUAGAAGAAACCUUAGUUCCAAGUAGUGAAAGGGACCAAGACCAGACAUUAAAUCUAUUCACUAAGACGAGCCUUCAAAAAGGCAAUACACUCAAAAUUCUUGGUAGUGAUGGUCAUGCCAUCGACAUAUAGGAGCAGUGGAUUGCUAAAGGUUGAUGAGAUAGAUGGAAGUGGAGACAAACUCGACCCAAAAGUGCGACGGAAGAGAUGCGGUGACCAUAACGGACAAGUCGUCUCAAGAAGGUGACGGUGCUUGCGCUCAGCCACGCCAUUUUGAGCAUGAGCACCAGGAUAAGAGAACCAAAGUCUGCUCAAAUAGGAUUCCACCAGAGUCAUCACAGAACACAUGAAUAGGUGUAGAGAACUGAGUGUGAACCAUGGCAGCAAAAGGCUUAUAAGACAUCACUACAAGAAAUAAAGUAUAUCCAGGUGUGUCGAGAGAAGUUACUACCGGAGGCAAAGGGAGAUGGACCCCUCAGAUCAUAUUGAACAAGAACGGAAGGACGACGAGACACUGUCUCGCUAUGAGUAUAAGGUAAUUGGGCCUUGGAUUAGAGACAUCAUCGGAGACGGAUCGAAGAAGACCACGUCGAACUAAGGAUGAGAGAUAACAAGUGAUCCAAGGGGAUGAGGCCAAUCCUGAAAAUAACUGGUAGACAAGGCAACAAAGGCAGAGACUGGCGAUGGUGGCAGCAGAGGGACUUGAUCCAACAUCCCACGUGCCUAUGCACUCUUCGUACCCCACCGAUCCGGCUUGGCGUUCUUUUCCUGUUUGCGGGUUGUGGGUCACGCACUUGAUUAAGCACCCCAGGUUCUCCUACUGCGCCCUUGGCCUUGACUUUAAGUAGCGCCUGUCCUCGGCUCGUCCCGUGCAUAAACCAGGUAUGCAUCGACUGUCCGAGCUCCUGCUCCCUAUUGGUGGUGCUCGAGCGUGCGGUUAUGGUGUCGCACAUAAAGGGAACACGGGAUGUGGGAUUGAGACAGUACUCAUAGCAGCCCGCAGCAAGGCAAAGAAGGCCCAUCCAGACUGGCAGGGAGCAAAGGUGGGCACAAAGGUGAGCAUUGACUCGGAGUCUCAACAGUGCGCUCAUCGGUAAGAGUAGGACGAGCAAGAAGAUUUUGGAUAUACUUCUCUUGGGAAAUAAGGAACAAUCUCAAGGAAGUAGCGAAGAGGACUAAGAUUCAGCAGUGACCUUAUCACUAAGAGCAACACGAGCAAGAAGAUCCUAAAUGUACUUCUCUUGGGAAAUAAAGAAGCCAUCAGAGGUAGAAGAAACCUCAGUUCCAAGUAGUGAAAGGGACCAAGAUCAGACAUUAAAUCUAUUCACUAAGACGAGCCUUCAAAAAGGCAAUACACUCAAAAUUCUUGGUAGUGAUGAUCAUGUCAUCGACAUAUAGGAGCAGUGGAUUGCUAAAGGUUGAUGAGAUAGAUGGAAGUGGAGACAAACUCGACCCAAAAGUGUGACAGAAGAGAUGCGGUGACCAUAACGGACAAGUCGUCUCAAGAAGGUGACGAUGCUUGCGCUCAGCCACGCCAUUUUGAGCAUGAGCACCAGGAUAAGAGAACCAAAGUCUGCUCAAAAAGGAUUCCACCAGAGUCAUCACAGAACACAUGAAUAGGUGUAGAGAACUGAGUGUGAACCAUGGCAGCAAAAGGCUUAUAAGACCUCACUACAAGAAAUAAAGUAUAUCCAGGUGUCUCGAGAGAAGUUACUACCGGAGGCAAAGGGAGAUGGACCCCUCAGAUCAUAUUGAACAAGAACGGAAGGACGACGAGACACUGUCUCGCUAUGAGUAUAAGGUAAUUGGGCCAUGGAUUAGAGACAUCAUCGGAGACGGAUCGAAGAAGACCACGUCGAAUUAAGGAUGAGAGAUAACAAGUGAUCCAAGGGGAUGACGCCAAUCAAUAAGAGCAGCGUGAGUAAGAAGAUCCUAAAUUAUUAUUAUUUUAGCAUUAAGGGACCUCAAUCCCAAGAAAGUGGCAGAGAGGGCUAAGAUAAAACAUAAGAAACUGCAUACUAAGACAUGCCCUAACAAAGGCAAUAUACUCACGGUCUGCGUCAGUGAUGAUCAUGUCAUCAACUUAUAGAAGAAGAGUGCUACCAAGAACAGAAAGAAGGACAAACAAUGUCGGAUCAUGAGCACUCGAUGAAAAUCAGCAGUAGCCACCAUAGAGGCAAAACGCUCAAACCAGGUGCGAGGGGCUUGCUUAGAGCCAUAGUGAGAGUGAUGAAGACGAGAAAGCAUGUCGUAAGGAGCAGGACACCAUUAAGAAAUGCAUUCUUAACAUCAAGCCUGGACACAGAUGAGUGGCAAACAGAGGCCUCAAUAAGAAGUGUGCGAACAGUGGUGAGCAAAAGUCUCAUCGUAAUCAAGACCACGCUCCUACUGAAAGCCAUUAUGCACAACACGAGAUUUGUAACGCCCAAGAGAACCAUCAGAGUGAGUCCUAACCUUGUAGACCCACCAAGUGAUGGGACGAACACGAGGAGGAACAUAUACAAUAUCCCACGCGCCAAUGCGCUCAAGAGCAGCAGUCUCCUCUGCCAUCACAAGGUGCCAUUUGGUAUGAACAACACCACAAUAAGAAGUUGGCUCAAGAACAACAUCGCCAAUGCUUGGAAGACCUAGACGGUUAACAUGCCAAAGCGGACGAGGACGCAAGCCAUAAGUAGGCUGAGACGAGGGAGAUGGCACAUCAAUAGACGCAUCCACAACACGUAGACGUCCUGUAUAGAAAUUAGGAAAAGAUGGAAGAAUGCGAGUUGGAAUCAUCGGGAUAAACUCAGGUGAUGGAGACAAGGAAGCCAUCGGUGAUGAAGGUGUAGAAUCAUGUGAUAAGUGAGGUGAGGAAAUUAUAGGAGAUGAUGAUGUUGGUUCUACAAUAAUUAGAGAAGUAGGAGCAGUAUGACGACUGGAUAAGGGCUCAAUAGGAGUGGUAGGAGUGUCGGGAAAAUUGUGGAAAGAGAUAUACUCCACUUAAAAGGCCGAAGAUGGACUCAACAAAAGUCAUAUCCCGAGAAAUAGGCAUUCGACGACCAACAUGAUCCCAACAAUGAUAUCCCUUAUGCUCAUCGUUGUAUCCUAAGAAGAAACACUCAACAGGCUCACAAGUCAGUUUGGUGCGUUCACGAGGGGCAAGAAGGACAUAGCAAACACAACCAAAUAAUUGAAGCGCCGAAUAAAUGAUCAAAUAAACGCUCGAAAGGAGCGUCACCCUGCAGAGCAGUGGAUUGCUAAAGGUUGAUGAGAUAGAUGGAAGUGGAGACAAACUCGACCCAAAAGUGCGACGGAAGAGAUGCGGUGACCAUAACGGACAAGUCGUCUCAAGAAGGUGACGAUGCUUGCGCUCAGCCACGCCAUUUUGAGCAUGAGCACCAGGAUAAGAGAACCAAAGUCUGCUCAAAAAGGAUUCCACCAGAGUCAUCACAGAACACAUGAAUAGGUGUAGAGAACUGAGUGUGAACCAUGGCAGCAAAAGGCUUAUAAGACCU